GGGCCUAUGGUCUAGUGGUACGACGCGUCGUUCGCAAUGACGAGACUCGGGUCCGAUUCCCGAUAGGUCCA
rfam:Parcubacteria bacterium GW2011_GWA2_50_10b TY54_C0014, whole genome shotgun sequence.